rnacentral:rRNA from 1 species
UUCGCUGAUUCGGGAUAAAAGGAGAAAUCCGCUUUGAGAUGGACCCGCGGCGCAUCUAGCUAGUCUGGUAGGGUAGAAGCCUACCAAGGCAACGAUGCGUAGCCGACCUGAGAGGGUGAUCGGCCACUCUGGAACUGAGAUACGGUCCAGACUCCUACGGGAGGCAGCAGUGGGGAAUAUUGCACAAUGGGCGAAAGCCUGAUGCAGCAACGCCGCGUGAGUGAUGAAGGUCUUCGGAUUGUAAAGCUCUGUCUUCUGGGACGAUAAUGACGGUACCAGAGGAGGAAGCCACGGCUAACUACGUGCCAGCAGCCGCGGUAAUACGUAGGUGGCGAGCGUUGUCCGGAUUUACUGGGCGUAAAGGGUGCGUAGGCGGAUGUUUAAGUGAGAUGUGAAAUACCCGGGCUUAACCUGGGUGCUGCAUUUCAAACUGGAUAUCUGGAGUGCAGGAGAGGAGAACGGAAUUCCUAGUGUAGCGGUGAACUGC